rnacentral:rRNA from 1 species
AAGCAGCAUGGGGGUCUGGGCAUCCCUAAUAUUGCCGAUAUGAAUUUAUGUCUUUUAGCCUCUUGGAUCAUGAGAUAUUUCCUGGACGAGGGCAAAAUUUGGAAACAAAUUAUUGAUGCUAAGUAUAGGACUCACAUCCCUAAUAUUUUUACUUGUCCUGAAAAUGGUGCUUCCCCAUUUUGGAAAGGGAUCCUGCGGGCUGCUAAAGCUGCCAAUGUAGGUUAUUCCUGGAUAGUGGGGAAUGGCAAGAGUACUAGAUUUUGGGAAGAUCAGUGGAUGGGGCAUACUACCCUAGCUACCCAGUAUUGGGAUCUAUACUCUAUUGCCAAUGACCAUAAUGUUUCUAUUAGCGAGGUCUGGGAUGGCACCAAUCUAAAAAUUACUUUUAGAAGGUGUUUCACCCAUAAGCUCCUAGCAGAUUGGGAUGAUUUGUUCAGCCGCGUAGCUCAUAUCAACUUAAACGACGUUGAAGAUACCGUUCGCUGGAAUUUUGAAGCCAAAGGUGUCUACACUGUUAAAUCUUUCUACAACCUUAUUAAUUUUAGGGGAAUUGAUCCGGGUAACCUUACAGUUAUUUGGAAAAUUAAUAUUCGCCUUAGGAUCCAGAUUUUUCUAUGGCUUGUGCCCAAAAACAAGCUUUUAACGAGAGACAACCUGCAAAAGAGACAACAUGUAGAUGAUGCUACCUGUCUUUUUUGUGGAGAAUCUGAAUCUAUCGAACAUUUAUUCUUUGGCUGCUUUGUUGCGAUAGAGGAUUUUUGA